GACGAACGCUGGCGGCAUGCCUAACACAUGCAAGUCGAACGGAGUUAUAUCGAAUGAGAGCUUCGGCAGGAUUUUGAUAUAACUUAGUGGCGGACGGGCGAGUAACGCGUGAGCAACCUGCCCUUCAGUGGGGAAUAACGGCUGGAAACGGUCGCUAAUACCGCAUAACAUCCCGAGAUGGCAUCAUCAUGGGAUCAAAGAUUUAUCGCUGAAGGAUGGGCUCGCGUCCGAUUAGAUAGUUAGUGAGGUAAUGGCUCACCAAGUCGACGAUCAGUAGCCGGCCUGAGAGGGUGACCGGCCACAUUGGGACUGAGACACGGCCCAAACUCCUACGGGAGGCAGCAGUGGGGAAUAUUGCACAAUGGGGGAAACCCUGAUGCAGCGACGCCGCGUGAGUGAAGAAGUAUUUCGGUAUGUAAAGCUCUAUCAGCAAGGAAGAAAAUGACGGUACUUGACUAAGAAGCCCCGGCUAACUACGU
rnacentral:rRNA from 1 species